rnacentral:rRNA from 1 species
UAUGUAUAACUUAGUGGCAGACGGGUGAGUAAUGUAUAGGAUCUACCUAGUAGUACGGAAUAAUUGUUGGAAACGGCAACUAAUACCGUAUACGCCCUACGGGGGAAAAAUUUAUUGCUAUUAGAUGAGCCUAUAUUAGAUUAGCUAGUUGGUGGAGUAAUAGCCUACCAAGGCAAUGAUCUAUAGCUGAUCUGAGAGGAUGAUCAGCCACACUGGAACUGAGAUACGGUCCAGACUCCUACGGGAGGCAGCAGUGGGGAAUAUUGGACAAUGGGCGAAAGCCUGAUCCAGCCAUGCCGCAUGAGUGAAGAAGGCCUUUGGGUUGUAAAGCUCUUUUAGUGAGGAAGAUAAUGACGGUACUCACAGAAGAAGUCCUGGCUAACUCCGUGCCAGCAGCCGCGGUAAUACGGAGAGGGCUAGCGUUAUUCGGAAUUAUUGGGCGUAAAGGGCGCGUAGGCGGAUUAGUAAGUUAAAAGUGAAAUCCCAAGGCUCAACCUUGGAAUUGCUUUUAAAACUGCUAAUCUAGAGAUUGAAAGAGGAUAGAGGAAUUCCUAGUGUAGAGGUGAAAUUCGUAAAUAUUAGGAGGAACACCAGUGGCGAAGGCGUCUAUCUGGUUCAAAUCUGACGCUGAGGCGCGAAGGCGUGGGGAGCAAACAGGAUUAGAUACCCUGGUAGUCCACGCUGUAAACGAUGAAUGUUAAAUAUGGGAAGUUUUACUUUCUGUAUUACAGCUAACGCGUUAAACAUUCCGCCUGGGGACUACGGUCGCAAGAUUAAAACUCAAAGGAAUUGACGGGGACCCGCACAAGCGGUGGAGCAUGUGGUUAAUUCGAUGCAACGCGA